GAUGAACGCUGGCGGCGUGCCUAAUACAUGCAAGUCGAGCGAACAGACUAGGAUCUUUCUCCUCUUACGUUAGCGUCUGACGUGUUAGUAACACGUUGAUAACCUACCUAUAAUACUUGGAUAACUUCGUGAAACCGGCUCUAAUACCGUAUAAUAUAUUGAACCUCAUGGUUCAAUAGUUAAAUACGGUUUUGCUGUCACUUAUAGAUGGAUCCGCGCCGCAUUAGCUAGUUGGUAAGGUAACGGCUUACCAAGGCAACGAUGCGUAGCCGAACUGAGAGGGGGAUCGGACAAACGGGAAAGGAGACACGGUAAAGAGGACUACGGGAGGAAGCAGAAGGGAAUAUUACGCAAUGGGCGAAAGCAUGACGGAGCAAAGCAGCGUGAGUGAUGAAGGUCUGCGGAUAGUAAAACUCUGUUAUUAGGGAAGAAAAAAUGUGGAAGUAACAAUGCACGUAUUGACGGUAACGAAUCAGAAAGCAACGGCUAACUACGUG
rnacentral:rRNA from 1 species